rnacentral:rRNA from 1 species
CAAUAGCGUAUAUUAAAGUUGUUGCAGUUAAAAAGCUCGUAGUUGGAUUUCUGGCAGGAGCAACCGGUCACUCACUCUGUGUGUGAACUUGUGUUGUCUCUGGCCAUCCUCGGGGAGAUCUUGUUUGGCAUUAAGUUGUCGGGCAGGGGAUACCCGUCGUUUACUGUGAGAAAAUUAGAGUGUUUAAAGCAGGCUUAUGCCGUUGAAUAUAUUAGCAUGGAAUAAUAAGAUAGGACUUCGGAACUAUUUUGUUGGUUUGCGUUACGAAGUAAUGAUUAAUAGGGACAGUUGGGGGUAUUCGUAUUUCGUUGUCAGAGGUGAAAUUCUUGGAUUUCCGAAAGACGAACUACUGCGAAAGCAUUUACCAAGGAUGUUUNCAUUAA